UUUUCUUUGAGUUUACCAAAAAGCAAAGAACUUUUGAACAUCAAACGUUGAAUCCACUUGACUUUCCAAAAGCCAGUCCAAUCUUUACAACCAUGAUCCUGUCACCUACUCCGACUUUCCGACUACGAACCCCUCCUCCGUUUCACCGGAAAUCAAGCUCUCCGAGCAAACAUCCACAAAAAAAGCACCUACCCUCUUUCCUCCCAUCAAAAUCGUAUCCGAAAACCCCAAAAACUCACUUCAGAGUUACGGCCGGGAAACGGUUGCCAAUGGAAGGGUUAAGUCGAGAGAUGUGCGCCAUAGCUUCGCAGAAUCUGGACCAUGCGCCGGCUCGAAGACGAGUCCGGUCCGCAUUCAUCGACGUGCAUCAGCAACUUGAUCAUUGCCUGUUCAAGAUGGAUCAUGGUGGCAUCAGAACAGAGGAGUGGUAUGGAAGGAAUUCAAGGGGUAUGGAGAUUUUCUGCAAAAGCUGGUUGCCAAAAGCUGGUGAUCGAAUCAAAGGUGCUUUAUGCUUCUGCCAUGGCUAUGGUAGUACUUGCACAUUUUUCUUUGAAGGUAUCGCCAAGCGAAUUGCUGCAUCUGGAUACGCUAUAUACGCCGUGGACUAUCCGGGUUUCGGUCUUUCUGAAGGAUUACAUGGCUACAUCCCAAACUUUGAUGAAUUGGUCGGCGAUGUAAUCGAACAGUUUACUAAUGUCAAAGGAAGAUCUGAUGUGAAAGGUCUGCCAUUCUUUGUAAUGGGAGAAUCCAUGGGAGGAGCCGUGAGUCUCAAGAUUCAUCUUAAGGAGCCGGACAAAUGGGAUGGUGUAAUCCUUGUAGCUCCAAUGUGCAAAAUAGCGGAAGACGUGAUGCCUCCGGCAAUAGUACUGAAGCUAUUAGCCCUGAUGUCUGAAGUUUUGCCUGAGGCGAAACUCUUCCCGCAGAAAGAUACAUCCGAGCUAAGCUACAGAGAUCCGAAGAACAGAAAAACGGCCGGUUACAAUGUGAUUUCUUACAACGACAACAUGCGAUCAAGAACAGCUGUGGAACUUCUGAAGGCCACAAGUGAUAUCGAAACGCAGUUGCAUAAGGUUUCGGGCCCGGUUCUAAUUCUUCAUGGAGCAGAAGAUAAGGUGACGGAUCCUUUGGUGAGCCGGUUGCUUUACGAGAAGGCAUCUGGCAAGGAUAAAACUUUGAAGCUCUAUCCGGAUGGUUUUCACUGCAUUCUUCAAGGGGAGCCCGAUGACAGAAUUUUCACUGUUCUUGAUGACAUUGUAACAUGGCUUGAUUCCCGUUGCUCCCCCAAUUAAAAUCUUUUACUCUCAGUUGAACGUGGUAAAUGUGAUGCACUUAAAAGCAACGCAUAAAAUUGUCACGUUCUUUUAACGAGAAAUUAUCGACAAUCUGAUGAGAAUACUCUCUGAUUCACUCACGAAAAGGAAGUAUAUACAAUUAUUCUUAGUCA